rnacentral:rRNA from 1 species
CUACGGGUGGCUCCAGUAAGGAAUAUUGGUCAAUGGACGAAAGUCUGAACCAGCCAUGCCGCGUGAAGGAUGACGGCCCUAUGGGUUGUAAACUUCUUUUAUAUGGGAAGAAACCCCUCUACGUGUAGAGGGCUGACGGUACCAUACGAAUAAGCAUCGGCUAACUCCGUGCCAGCAGCUGCGGUAAUACGGAGGAUGCAAGCGUUAUCCGGAUUUAUUGGGUUUAAAGGGUGCGCAGGCGGAAAGAUAAGUCAGUGGUGAAAUCCUACGGCCUAACUGUAGAACUGCCAUUGAUACUGUCUUUCUUGAGUACAGUUGAAGUGGGCGGAAUGUGUCAUGUAGCGGUGAAAUGCAUAGAUAUGACACAGAACACCGAUAGCGAAGGCAGCUCACUAAACUGAAACUGACGCUCAUGCACGAAAGCGUGGGGAGCAAACAGGAUUAGAUACCCGAGUAGUC